CAAAGGUACAGCCACGGUUUGCUAUUGCUAUAUGGAAGAAGUACGCUACCAUGAAAUCUCUGUUGAGUGUUUACAUGGAUCAAAAUGUAUCGGUUCAUCAAAAGGAAUUUCUGCUGAAGGACUUGGUAACUGAAGGUUUACUUCGCGAUGACAGAAGAGUGGGUGAGGUUUGUUCCAAGAGAGUGUACAGAAUACUUAUGGCACAAAGUGGAUCCAUUAAAACUGAUGAUGUUGAGGAUGGUGCUGAUUUGUUUAGGCGUCAACUGGCUUAAAUAACUCCAGAUUUGUCUAUUACUUGUAUUCUGCGGUAGCGCUCUGAUUCCUUUUUGGUAAAUGUUAUUUUCAGAGCCUUAAGUAGUAGUUCUUGCUGUGUAAAGUACAACUCAUUAAUGUCAAGAAAAAAUGUAAAUAUUCUUGCGGUUUUGGUAUAUCAAAGGGAAGAGAAUUCAGACUUGGCACCUCAUCGAAUAUUGGGAAAGGAGGUACCACUCUUCAA